rnacentral:rRNA from 1 species
UACGAAGGGGGCUAGCGUUGCUCGGAAUCACUGGGCGUAAAGGGUGCGUAGGCGGGUCUUUAAGUCAGGGGUGAAAUCCUGGAGCUCAACUCCAGAACUGCCUUUGAUACUGAAGAUCUUGAGUUCGGGAGAGGUGAGUGGAACUGCGAGUGUAGAGGUGAAAUUCGUAGAUAUUCGCAAGAACACCAGUGGCGAAGGCGGCUCACUGGCUCGGUACUGACGCUGAGGCGCGAAAGCGUGGGGAGCAAACAGG